rnacentral:rRNA from 1 species
AGAGUUUGAUCCUGGCUCAGGAUGAACGCUAGCGGCAGGCCUAACACAUGCAAGUCGAGGGGCAUCACGAGGUAGCAAUACUUUGGUGGCGACCGGCGCACGGGUGCGUAACGCGUAUGUAACCUACCUAUAACAGGGGCAUAACACUGAGAAAUUGGUACUAAUUCCCCAUAAUAUUCGGAGAGGCAUCUCUCCGGGUUGAAAACUCCGGUGGUUAUAGAUGGACAUGCGUUGUAUUAGCUAGUUGGUGAGGUAACGGCUCACCAAGGCAACGAUACAUAGGGGGACUGAGAGGUUAACCCCCCACACUGGUACUGAGACACGGACCAGACUCCUACGGGAGGCAGCAGUGAGGAAUAUUGGUCAAUGGACGCAAGUCUGAACCAGCCAUGCCGCGUGCAGGAAGACGGCUCUAUGAGUUGUAAACUGCUUUUGUACGAGGGUAAACGCAGAUACGUGUAUCUGUCUGAAAGUAUCGUACGAAUAAGGAUCGGCUAACUCCGUGCCAGCAGCCGCGGUAAUACGGAGGAUUCAAGCGUUAUCCGGAUUUAUUGGGUUUAAAGGGUGCGUAGGCGGUUUGAUAAGUUAGAGGUGAAAUCCCGGGGCUUAACUCCGGAACUGCCUCUAAUACUGUUAGACUAGAGAGUAGUUGCGGUAGGCGGAAUGUAUGGUGUAGCGGUGAAAUGCUUAGAGAUCAUACAGAACACCGAUUGCGAAGGCAGCUUACCAAACUAUAUCUGACGUUGAGGCACGAAAGCGUGGGGAGCAAACAGGAUUAGAUACCCUGGUAGUCCACGCAGUAAACGAUGAUAACUCGUUGUCGGCGAUACACAGUCGGUGACUAAGCGAAAGCGAUAAGUUAUCCACCUGGGGAGUACGUUCGCAAGAAUGAAACUCAAAGGAAUUGACGGGGGCCCGCACAAGCGGAGGAACAUGUG